AUAACGCUCCCACCCCGGACUGUUCGCAUCCUAAACUAGGAGACUGGUAACUAAACUACAGCAGCCAGGGCAGUCCUCAGUGUUUUUGCAUUAUGUAGAAUGCUAAAUUUAAAGGACUGAAUCAUUGUUGAACUUUUCGUCAUUUAGACACGCAUGCUGGAUUCCUUGCUUAUGCCUAGUUUGUCGAUUGGUGCUGACAGUUGGUCAGUGGUGAGUGAUUAUACCAUCUUUUGUGGAGGGGAAAAUCCAUAAAAAGUACCCCGAUGAGAAUGGGGAAUAUACCUCCCAGGACUAACAGUAAAGAUAAUCACACUGAGAUAGUUCCAGCCCAGCUACACUGCUGCCACUGUGACCCGGAGCCUGAUAAGCAGCAGAAAAUAGAUGGAUGGGGUGACCCAGUGGGCGAGGAAAAGCUUCUACGACUGGGGGAACGCAUCUGGCCAACUUGUGGAAUGAAACAUGACCCUGAACUACUGAUGUGGACCUGGCUGUUCUGAUCAACUGUGCUGAACACUGUCCCCAAACAUUACAACUUGCUGUUACCUUGGAAGUUUAAAUCAAAUACAGGUGAAACAGGUUUAAACUAAUCUACUCCCUUUUAUUCCAUUUCAAAUCUGGGUAUUUUGGUAAAAACUACCUUUUAGAUUGAGAGUGAAUAACAAACCUUGCAAACAAGGGUCUUUAUUUAACAUCCAGCCUCAGGUCAUACCCCGUAUGAGUAAAGUGCCACGUUUUGCUUUGUGGCUUUGUAACAGCGUCAAACUACUUCCUCCUUUGCUUCAGGUGAACGAGAGUCAUAAUUCAUACAGCUGCUAGAGCUUUGUCACUUGAACGUAAACACAUGUCAUUUUUGGGCACUCGCUGAAACGGCUGAUGCUGUCGUUUAGGUUGAAACUAUCUACUGCCUAUGUUUCUGCUGCUUGAGAAAGUUAAAUGCUGAGGAUAAUUUUUGUGUUCAUUAUAUUCUGUGUUUCAAACUACUAUGUUCUGCGAUGGUGCCUAAAAUGUUCUUUAAGAUUAUGGAGGAUGAGGAACACCCGGGAGAUGUGGCCACACCUGACGUUGCGCAACGUCCUCCGUAAGGUUCUUCCUAAGUUCUUAAUAACUACUAGUUAGUUUCAAAUUAAGGAUUUACUAAAUUCAAGUUAGAAUUCAUGGGAUGUCUAAGGAAGUUAAGACCUUAGUCAUGUCAUGUGUUGUUAGGAAACAUCUGUUCACCAUACAAUCAAAUGCAAUCAACUGAAACAUCCCAAGCUGUAACAUAACUUCCUCUGAUAACAGUUUUAGGCACCAAGCAAUAUAUAAAACCUAACUGAUGAUCCUUUGUAAAUGUAGGCAUUACGUUGUUUUUGUUUUAUAUCCAUACAUGGAGAAAUAUGUGUUGAAAAAUGAGUAGACCCAUUCAUGUAGUUUAAAAUGAAUGAAUGAAAUAUCCGAUUACACAACCUAACAACCUUACUUAUUAUUGGCGUAAUGUUUUAGAAUCUGAGGUAUAUUGUGAUAUUUUUGUGAACUAUAAUUUAAAAUCUUCCCAGUUUGUAUUAUUAUUAAACAGAAUUUCAAGUGUCAGGUCAGAAAUAUCAACCAAACUUUUUUAUUCUUAACUUUAAACAGGUCAUAUAUUAACAAGCUAGUUUUGUCAGUUGGUUCAGUCCGUCAGUUACUAUGAGUAAACAUUUAGCAACAACUCAUCUUUUACGUUAGAACUGGUUUGUGUUUUAAUUUGGUGAUACGCAAACCUCUACUUAGUAAACACUAAACAAUUAUACAAUUAUAACUAUAUUAAGUUUGACCUCACAGACAGCUGGUGCAGGGGUUUGAACAGUACAACAACGAGUUUGUAAGGAUGAAAAAAACUGUUGUUGUUUUUAUGUUAUUUUUAUCUCUGGUUUCAUUUUACCUGUAUUUAUGUCUUAUGUUUUGUAAUCAGUGUUGGUAGAUUAGGAUUGAAGUGUAAUUUCCAUCAUUUUAUGGAAGAGUAAAUUGAACCUUGAGCCUUGCGUGGAGUUUUUCCAUUAACCCUGCAUUAUGU